rnacentral:tRNA from 1 species
GAGGCUGUAGCUCAGUGGUAAAGUGCUUGCCUCCUAUGUGUGAGGCACUGAGUUCAAUCCUCAGCACCACA